GCGGCCUAUCAGCUUGUUGGUGAGGUAAUGGCUCACCAAGGCGACGACGGGUAGCCGGCCUGAGAGGGCGACCGGCCACACUGGGACUGAGACACGGCCCAGACUCCUACGGGAGGCAGCAGUGGGGAAUAUUGGGCAAUGGAGGGAACUCUGACCCAGCGACGCCGCGUGCGGGAUGAAGGCCUUCGGGUUGUAAACCGCUUUCAGCAAGGAAGAAGCGAAAGUGACGGUACUUGCAGAAGAAGCACCGGCUAACUAUGUGCCAGCAGCCGCGGUAAUACAUAGGGUGCAAGCGUUGUCCGGAAUUAUUGGGCGUAAGGAGCUCGUAGGUGGUUCGUCACGUCGGAUGUGAAAAUCUGGGGCUUAACCCCAGACCUGCAUUCGAUACGGGCGAGCUAGAGUGUGGUAGGGGAGACUGGAAUUCCU
rnacentral:rRNA from 1 species